CCUCUCCCUAUAUAUUCUGGAUGCAUUGAGGUAGGCUCAAACCCUCAGGGACCUGGUGUAGACGCGGGAUCUGUUUCACACAACUGCUAUUUGAAGGAACAACUUUUUUGCUCAUACAGUUGGAUUUAUGUGAGGGGGAUAUUACUGGAACAACAAAGCCCAAAUCUUGGAGUUUUGCGUCCUUUCCCAGCUCCUCCUCUGGCAGCAGACAUGCGUCCUUUCCCAGUUCCUCCUGUGGCAUGCCGGCAUGCCCCUCCUGCACUUGUUUCCAUUCAGCUCUGUGUUACCUGCUACAGUGACCCAGUGGCAACACCCAGAGAGCUAGUGAUUACACGUAGAAGGAAUUUAACCUGUACUGAGAUAUAGACACCAUAGCACUCCCAAGAAGCAGCAGGAGUGUAGAGGCAUUGACUCAGCUACCAGAUCCACUACCCCUGCAAGCGCAGAGCAGAGCUCAUUUCUCCACAUAAUGUUUGCACUCAGAUGGAUGAGGGCUUCUGUGCCUUCAAGUCCAAUGGGUUUUUUAUCACUACGAUAGAGAAUCUUGUGGUUUCCUCAGAAUCACCAAGGUUAACUUCAAGUCCCUACCCUCGAGAGGGGUGCCUGAUAAAGACGGAACUCUCAUUUCCCUUGUAAGUGGGAGAACUUCUGUUUGGAAGUGGCUGGCAGUUUUAUCAGUCUGGUGAUAGAGGCUUUGACUUCCUUUACUUUGAGACAGUUACUAAAAUGAAUUCCUUAGAUUAACAAAUACAAGAUAUCCAUUUUUUUUGGAGUCAUAAAAAAUCUAAAUGCAGGGCAGUUGGUUAACCUAUUAUAUGAUCUUUAUAGUACAGCGAACAUAAUGUGGCUUUAAUAGGACUGUUCUCUGGAUGACAUAAACUUUUUUCUCCUAAAUAUGGAAUUAGGUUAGGGUUUUGGGGUUCUGUACAUAGUGCUAUUUAAUAGUGAGGAACUCAACUACUGGGAAAACAUGGCAUUAGCUAUUAUGACUGUUUCAUCUGGGCCAUGAAAGUCACUCUGAAGUUUGAUAAAGUGUUUUCUACUUAAAAGACUACUCAAAAGAUAUUCCCAUGAUGGAUCAUCCUGGAGUGAAAAAUGAGCGUCCCCUUCUCUCACUCAGCCAAAAGAAUUGGGGGCCACUGGCCAGGUGUGGUGGCUCAUGCCUGUAAUCCCAGCACUUUGGGAGGCCGAGGUAGGCAGAUCACUUGAGCUCAGGAGUUUAAGACCAGCCUGGGAAACAUGGGGAGACCCCCGUCUCCACAAAAAAUACAAAACUUAAUCAAGUAUGGUAGUGUGUGCCCAUAGUCCCAACUAUUUGGGAGGCUGAAGCUUGAGGAUCACUUGAGCCUGUGAGGUCAAGGCUGUACUGAGCCAUGUUCUUGCCACUGCACUCCAGCCUGGGUGACAAAGUGGGACUCUGUCUCAAAAAAAGAAAAAAGAAUAAUAACUGGGGGCCGGGACAUGGAAGGGUUGGGAGGCCAGAGAGUCUUGUGGAUAGGGGUUAAGCUGCUUCCCACAACCUGGAAGUCUGCUGGGCUGGACUAGGCCCUGGGAUUAGAUCCCAUCAUGUGGGCUCCAAGAGUGACUUCUCAUAUUGGCUGUGCAGGCCGCUCUGGCUUCUGUUGCUUCUGUCACCCUUAAAGCAUUAGGUAAUACCUGGUGUCAGCUGUGCUCUGGGUGGGUAAGGAAUCUUCCUGUUUUAAGAUGUA
ensembl:lncRNA